rfam:Desulfobacula toluolica Tol2 complete genome
GCCAAUGAGGGAUCUGAAGGAAGCCUGCGUCAAAUUUGUCACCCAAACUUGGUGUGAACCUCCGGUAGGCCAGGCGGAAUGGGCGAGAUACCUCCGAUUAUCGAAGCCCGAAAUCCUUUCCGUAAUUCCGCAGGGUAUGAGAGGUGGGUGGGCAAUGAAAGUGUAUGAC